rnacentral:rRNA from 1 species
GAUUGACGGGGGCCCGCACAAGCGGCGGAGCAUGCGGAUUAAUUCGAUGCAACGCGAAGAACCUUACCAAGGCUUGACAUGCACGGGAAAGUUCCAGAGAUGGUUCCCCCGCAAGGUCCGUGCACAGGUGGUGCAUGGUUGUCGUCAGCUCGUGUCGUGAGAUGUUGGGUUAAGUCCCGCAACGAGCGCAACCCUUGUCUUAUGUGCCAGCG